CGCCCCCCGCCCCCGCCACCCGCCGCCCUCACCUCGUUGUACUCGGAAAAAUCCAGCACGGCCCGCACCGGAGCAGAGGAGGCGACGGAGGCGAAGAUGAGGUGUUUCCGUGUCUUCCCGGACUUUCCGAAGCAGGCUGCAGUUAGUGCCUUCCUAGGGCACUUAGAACCCCGUACAGCUUGUGAAAACGUGGGGAGAUAGAGAAGCGUGGAGGCACAGAGACAGGGGUGGAGAUAGAGAUGACAGAGGCGAGAGUGAGAUGGAAAAACGACGAGACUGACACAGCCGGAGACCAGGAGAGGGUCCAGGACACUGGCCAGCGGCGGGGGCCCUGGCUGUAUAUGGAAACGCUAAGCCGAGGAUAAGUGACGGGUGCAGACCAAUUUGGAAGCAGGGCCUAGGGGAGCUGACCUGCACACACUGUGCACACAGGAGGUGUGAAAAAUGGGGCAAGUGUUCAUCCAUCAGAUCCCUUCCAGUUCCUCUCGUGAGAAACUGCCAAACUGUCUUCCAAAGUGGUUGCAUUCCCACCAGCAACGUUGUGAGAGUUCCUGUUGCCCCACACCCUCCCCAGCAUUUGGUGUCGUCCGUGUUUUGGAUUUUGGCCAUUCCAACAGGUGCGUGGUGGUGUCUCGUUGUUGUUUUUAUUUGCAUUUCCAUGACGACAUGUAAUGUUGACCAUCUUUCAUAUGCUUAUUUUUUUCUCCUAUGUUAUCUGCUAGGAGUUUUAUAGUUUUGUGUUUUACACUUAAGUCUAUGAUUCUUUCUUUUUCUUUUUUGCAUGUGGACAUGUAAUUGUUCCGGCACUAUUUGUUGAAAAGGCUGUCUUUUAUCCAUUGUAUUGUUUUUGCUCCUUUGUCAAGGAUCAACAGGUUAAAUUUGUGUGGGUCUGUUUCUGUAUGCUUUAUUCUGUUUAUUCUUAUCCAUUUAUCUGUUCUUUUGCCAAUAACACAAUGUCUUGAUUAUUGUGAUUUUAUCAUACUUCUUGAAGUCAGGUAGUGUCAGUCCUCCAACUUUAUCCUUCUCUUUCAAUAUUGUGUUGACAAUUCUGGGUCUUUCGCUUCUCCAUAUAAACUUUAGAAUCAACUUGUUAAUAUCCCAAAACAAUUCGCUGGGGGUUUGAUUGGGGUUGUGUCGAAUCUAUAGAUCAAGCUGGGAAAAACUAACAUCUUGUCAGUGUUAAGUCUUUCUAUCCAUGAACAUGGAAUAUCUAUUUAGUUCUUUGAUUUAUUUCAUCAAAGUUUUAUAGUUUUUUUUUUCCUUGAGAGAGAGAGAGAGAGAGAGAGAGAGAGAGAGAGAGAGAGAGAAUAUGAACAAGUCAGGGGGUAGAGGGAGAAGGAGAGACAGAAUCUCAAGCAGGUUCCAUGCCCAGCACAGAGCCUGACACAGAGCCUGAUGCAGAGCUUAAUCCCACAACCCUGAGAUCAUGACCUGAACUGAAAUCAAGACUCGGACGUGUAACCAACUGAGCCACCCAGGUGCUUUUGUACUUUUCUUCGCGUAUAGACUUUGUACACAUUUUGUUAGAAUUGUACCUAAGUAUUUUAUUUUGGGGGUGUAAAUGUAAAUCACAUUGUAUUUUUAUUUUCAAAUCCCAAAUUUUCAUUGCUAGUAUGUAGGAAAAUGAUUGACUUUCGUAUAUUAACCUUGUAUCCUACAACCUUGCUAUAAUUGCUUUUUAGUUCCAGGAGGGAUUUGUUUAGUAUUUUUUCCUGGUUGUUUUUGCCUUGAGAACUUGCCUGGGUUUAGCAUGCUGGAGACUAUGAGAUGUGUGGAGAUUGUGUGAUUGUUUAUUGUUCACCAGAUAUGUGAGUCAAUCCAGCUGGGACCUUAAACAGUCUAGUCAGUCCUGACCUAUAUUAGUUAACCACAGGCUAGUGAGAUAAAUAGAUUCUAAUUAUUUUAAGCUACUGAAUUUGGAUAGUUUGUUAAGCAGUAGAUUUGUGGCAGUAGAUAAGUGUUGUGUACAUUAAAAUAGCAUUCAUUUUACUCCAGCAGAACUAGCCUCCUUGGUAUUCCUUAAAUACACAAGGUAGAUUCCAUAUCAGGCUCCCUGUGGGCACUCUAUCCUCUGUCUGGAAUCAAUUUACCUAGACAGCCCCAAGGAUCAUUCAUUUUCUUCCUUCAGAUUUUUUGCCCAAAUGUCACCAAUAAUCCAUUUAGAAUUUGAAAAUAAAAAUUCACCCCUAAUGUCCUUCUCUCAAUUUUUUUCCUUAGCAU